UUACGGCCACAUCACGUUGAAACACCGAUUCCCAUACGAUUACCGAAGUUAAGCAACGUCGAGCCUGAUCAGUACUUAGAUGGCUGACCGCCUGGGAAUAUCA